rnacentral:rRNA from 1 species
UACGUAGGGUGCGAGCGUUAAUCGGAAUUACUGGGCGUAAAGGGUGCGCAGGCGGCUCCGCAAGUCAGACGUGAAAUCCCCGGGCUCAACUUGGGAAUGGCGUUUGAAACUAUGGAGCUUGAGUGUGGCAGAGGGAGGUGGAAUUCCACGUGUAGCGGUGAAAUGCGUAGAUAUGUGGAGGAACACCGAUGGCGAAGGCAGCCUCCUGGGCUAACACUGACGCUCAUGCACGAAAGCGUGGGGAGCAAACAGG